AUUGAACGCUGGCGGCAUGCCUUACACAUGCAAGUCGAACGGCAGCGGGGACUUCGGUCCGCCGGCGAGUGGCGAACGGGUGAGUAAUGUAUCGGAACGUACCAUUCAGUGGGGGAUAACGUAGCGAAAGUUACGCUAAUACCGCAUAUUCUCUCCGGAGGAAAGCAGGGGACCGCAAGGCCUUGCGCUGAUUGAGCGGCCGAUAUCAGAUUAGCUAGUUGGUGGGGUAACGGCUCACCAAGGCGACGAUCUGUAGCGGGUCUGAGAGGAUGAUCCGCCACACAGGAACGGAGACACGGUCCAGACUCCUACGGGAGGCAGCAGUGGGGAAUUUUGGACAAUGGGCGCAAGCCUGAUCCAGCCAUGCCGCGUGAGUGAAGAAGGCCUUCGGGUUGUAAAGCUCUUUCGGCCGGGAAAAAAUCGCAUGGGCUAAUACCCUGUGUGGAUGAUGGUACCGGAAUAAGAAGCACCGGCUAACUACGUGCCAGCCGCCGCCGUAAAAC
rnacentral:rRNA from 1 species